UCGGGAAUUUUGUGCAAUGGGCGAAAGCCUGACACAGCAACGCCGCGUGAAGGAUGAAGUCCCUCGGGAUGUAAACUUCGUAAGAAUAGGAAGAAUAAAUGACGGUACUAUUUAUAAGCUCCGGCUAACUACGUGCCAGCAGCCGCGGUAAUACGUAGGGAGCAAGCGUUGUUCGGAUUUACUGGGCGUAAAGGGCGCGUAGGCGGCGCGGUAAGUCACUUGUGAAAUCUCUGAGCUUAACUCGGAACGGCCAAGUGAUACUGCAGUGCUAGAGUGCAGAAGGGGCAAUCGGAAUUCUUGGUGUAGCGGUGAAAUGCGUAGAUAUCAAGAGGAACACCUGAGGUGAAGACGGGUUGCUGGGCUGACACUGACGCUGAGGCGCGAAAGCUAGGGGAGCAAACGGGAUUAGAUACCCCAGUAGUCCCUGAGCGGGCUGGCAAGGCGCAU
rnacentral:rRNA from 1 species